rnacentral:misc_RNA from 1 species
GUGAGUAACGCGUGGGCAAUCUACCCCCUAGCCUGGGAUAACAGUUCGAAAGGACUGCUAACACCGGAUAAUGUUAUUUUGCGACAUCGUGAAAUAAUUAAAGUUUACAAUAGAUUUUUCGCCCGCGUCCCGGGAAAAAGUUGGUGAGGUAACGGCCCACCAAGGCGACGAUUNGAUCCCUCCUGAGAGGAGNACGGCCACUCCAAUCGGUG